GACGAACGCUGGCGGCGUGCUUAACACAUGCAAGUCGAACGGAAAGGCCCUGCUUGCAGGGUACUCGAGUGGCGAACGGGUGAGUAACACGUGGGUGAUCUGCCCUGCACUUCGGGAUAAGCCUGGGAAACUGGGUCUAAUACCGGAUAGGAGCCAUUUUUAGUGUGAUGGUUGGAAAGUUUUUUCGGUGUAGGAUGAGCUCGCGGCCUAUCAGCUUGUUGGUGGGGUAAUGGCCUACCAAGGCGGCGACGGGUAGCCGGCCUGAGAGGGUGGACGGCCACAUUGGGACUGAGAUACGGCCCAGACUCCUACGGGAGGCAGCAGUGGGGAAUAUUGCACAAUGGGCGCAAGCCUGAUGCAGCGACGCCGCGUGGGGGAUGACGGCCUUCGGGUUGUAAACUCCUUUCGCUAGGGACGAGGCUUUUUGUGACGGUACCUAGAUAAGAAGCACCGGCUAACUACGUGCCAGCAGCCGCGGUAAUACGUAGGGUGCGAGCGUUGUCCGGAAUUACUGGGCGUAAAGGGCUCGUAGGUGGUUUGUCGCGUCGUCUGUGAAAUUCCGGGGCUUAACUCCGGGCGUGCAGGCGAUACGGGCAUAACUUGAGUACUGUAGGGGUAACUGGAAUUCCUGGUGUAGCGGUGAAAUGCGCAGAUAUCAGGAGGAACACCGAUGGCGAAGGCAGGUUACUGGGCAGUUACUGACGCUGAGGAGCGAAAGCAUGGGUAGCGAACAGG
rnacentral:rRNA from 1 species